rnacentral:lncRNA from 1 species
CUUUCUCCAGGUACUCUACAAGAGGUCAGACAGUUUUUGCCUCCAUGGAAGGCAAUGUCACAGUGGAGGAACCUGCUGUCGACACCACUGCCGAGGAGCCUGCAGCUGACAACACCUCCGUAGCCUCUGAUGCUGCCGAACAAGCAGAGGCCUCGGAAACUCCCAAGAGAUUCCAACGGAGCAAGAGCUCUAGGGCUGCAAAGACCCUCACCGUCCAGAAGGACCAGAUUGUUGCGGGAGCUGUCUUCACUGGCAAAGUUCGAUCUGUGCAAUCGUAUGGUGCAUUCGUUGACAUUGGCGCAUUCACCGACGGAUUGGUGCACAUCUCCGAACUUGCGCCAAAGUUUGUUAAGGAGGUCACCGACGUGGUGUCAAUCGGACAGGAGGUGACGGUGAGAGUGCUGGAGCUGAAUGAGAAAGCCGGGCGGAUCGCACUGACGAUGCGGGACAGAGAGAACGAAGAGGAAGAGCAGUCGUCUCGACCCGGAAGCGAGUCGAGUGCAGGAUCGGGAUCAGGCGGAGAGGAGAGCGGGAGGCCAGUGAACCGGGGCAAGAUCGCGGGAAGGGGAAGCGGAGGGUCGAGGUCGAACUCAAGGGCGAGUGAGCCAAAGGUGAGGAGGAGUGGUGUGGAGGGUGAUGGGAGGAAUAGGUCGGAUGGAAGAGGUUUGCAAGUGGGGUGGGUGUGGUGCAUUGGUGCAUUGGUGCAUCGUGUGUGAUUGCAUGCGUGAGUUGUGCAGGUGAGGUUGUGAGAAGCAAUUGCGAGAUGCGGGGGAGUGAUUGUGGGAUGGGAGUGGGGGCUGAUGUGUGAUUUGGGUUGGGGUGUGGCGCAGACGAAGCUGAAGAAGGGUGAAGAGCUGAAGGGGACGGUGAAGAACAUCAUCCGGAACGGUGCAUUCAUAGAGUUUGCGGAACAAGGAGAGGAGGCGUUUUUGAGAGGGUCGGAGGUAACGGAGGGAGGAGAGAAUGUGCCUAUGGAGAACCUGUUGACGGUGGGACAGGAGGUGACAGUGCGGGUACUGAAGGUGGAGAGAGGGAAGGCAUAUCUGACGAUGAAGCCACAAGUGGACAUGACAUCGGUGAACCAGUCGAUCAACUCCGGUGUUGUGGGAAGCGCGGCCAAUCCUUUCGCCACAUUUUUCCUUAGCGUCAACCUGGCCGGUGCAGAACUCGUUGCAGCUGAAGGAACCCCUGCAAUGGAGGAGACCGCUGCUGUGGAAGAAGUUUCUGCUGUCGUUAGCGUAUAGAGACUCCAGUGAAUGAAUGUUCGGCAGUAGAUUUGUCUUCUUAGUCAGAGAAAGCAGAUGUCUACCUCAACAACCGCGAGGUACCCCAUCAAUCUGCUGCCCCGAAUUCGUUCAUUUGUCGACAAGGUGUAGUAACUUUCUUGCCAGAUUUCCAUGUGAGCCAUGUCUGUAGUUUCUCAAAAAUUUUGGACCUUAGAGGUGAUUUUCUUAGCUUCACCUAGAUAGUUUAGAAAUUUUCCAAGACACUGAAGAUCACAACGUCAGUGUCUGAUACAGGCAGAUGGUUCCGAUUUACAUUACUCUCAACACAUGUUUCCCACCUCUCAAAUCUUGGUAGAGUUCCCGUGCAUUUCGAGGGUGAGUUGUAGGCCCACUGUCUCAGAAUCAUUGCACAUUAUUAUGAUGUUUCGGUGAACGAAACGCCUGUUUUUGUUACAUCGUAACAAGUGAACUAUCUGAAGCACCGCUGAUUGCGAUAUUUUGAAGUCUUUCAUUGUUGCAAACCUGGCACAUGCGUGCACUAGCUGCAUAUUUGUUGAAUUGUGUGUAAUCAGCUUGUACUAGAAAGUCAGAAUCUUGUUAACAUUGAUCAACUUGGAUGAACUUUUGUUUGCGUAUAUAUAGAGUAGCUGAUACUGUGACCAUCUUGUUGAUGAUUAUGAAUAAUGUCACUGACAACUUGUAAAAGAGUUCUGAACUGAUAAUUUGUGAAGUGUUCACCGUGACUUUUAUACUUGAAAUGUGGAAUCAACCUGUCAGUGUCGAGUGUAGUCACAAUCAACAGGUAUUGGAAUUAUCGUCAAUAUUUAUGCAUUCAAACAGUAAUUGAGUUCUGUAACGCAUUGUUUCAUGUUUGUUAAGAUAGAUCGGAUAUUGUUGUAAUUCAAAAGAGUCAUGACUCUUUCAGAUUAUGCUUUUUAUUUUUAGUGUGAAAUGAACCUAAUUUUGUUUUCUAAUGUGUUACAGUUCAAUACUAAUCAUGAGUGUCAGUACAUAAUUGGCAGAAAUUGAUCUCUAUUUGUUUGCAUAAUAUUUUUGAAAGGGAGUUACCGUUUGGAUUGAUAAAAAGUAAAAACUUGAACUUUUAUUGCAUAUUUGCUCUAACAUUUGUUUUAAAAUCACACAAGUAAUUGUGCUGUUACGUGAUGUAAUAAUUGUGAAGUAUGAAAUAUUUUUAUAGUCUGCAUUUAAGUGAUUCGUAAUAAAAAAAUUGACAGAGAUGGAUUUGUUUCAAUAGAGCAUUUUGAUCUCAAACAAUAAUAUUUAGACGAUUGAAUUAAGACAUAGUAAAAAAUCAAGAAAACUUACAGAUGUCAAGCUGAGAAUGGUUUACUGAUAAGUUUAAUUUCUGUAUCCAGAACAAACAUAUUGUUGCUAAGAAAACGAACAGAUAUAUAUAUAUAUAUAUAUAUGUUGUUUCAAAAAAAGUAUAAAAUAUUGUAUUUCCCACUUAACAUCGUGCAAAUGACAUCAGGAGAGAAAAUGGUGUUUUAAAGAAAUGUUCUAAAUAAGAAAUGUUCUAAAUAAGAAAUGUUUUGUUCAAAUCAUAAAAAGUAUGGUUUGUAUCUACACAAGUUGGAAAUAUUAGUGACUUAUAAUAAUUCCUUUAAAAUAUUAAAUAAUUAUAAAAAUAUAACUACCUUAUAAUUUUUUCUGAAAUGGAACAAGUGAAUGCAUUGUUGAUACACAUUUAACAAGUAAGCAAUACUAGAGUGGUUAAAUGUAUCAUUUAAAAUUGUAUCAAGUAAUGUAUACUUAUAAAAAUGUCUAAAGGGCUUAACAAUAAUAGUUGGCAAUCUUUUGAAGAAUAGAACUAUGAUAUAGGGUUUUAUAAUGACUUGAGAGGAAAACCCACCAAAUAUUCCAUAAGGUAUUACAAUAGCAUUUUUUUUUUUUGUUUUUUCUAAUUUGCUCCUAUAAAUUACUAUGUAUUAUCUCCCUAAGGUAACCACACUUGCAUGCAAUGGUGUUAUCCAUCUAAUGAGCUUGUACCUACCCACAAUUGAUAUUGUUGAAGUAUCACAAUGGCAGGGCAUCAGAGGAGUAAUAAGCAAGGAGAUAAGGUGCUAUUAUGGGGCUAUGAAAAUUAACGAGGACAUAGUAAAAUAGAGGGGUAUUUAAGGGUUGGAGAAAGCACAAUGGACUAGUCAAGAAGUAGCACAAUACUUAAAGAGUUUCAAGCAGUAGCACCAUGAGUUAACUAGUGUUGGAUUGGAGGCCAUGUGAUUCUAAUUGAGUAAUAAAUUAGACCUUGUUUCUUUUCUAAUCAUCAUAUGUGCCAAGUCUAGUUUUGUAAGGUCUUAUCCAUGCUUGCUAGUAACUCCAAAAGCCCGAGUAACACUAUGAGGUGCUAAAAAUUUACAAAAUUGUGUAGCUAGUAUGGAGGUAUUAAAAUUAAUAACUUUUAAAUACUUGCAUAUCAAUGGUGUGGAUAAAUGAAAAUAAACCUUAUAUUACAUGUAAAAGGAGAUGAAUUUUUGAAAAGAGUAUUCAUCUAAAUGAAGAUAUUAAGCAAUUUAAUUUUCUAUUUUGUUUGUCCAUUUUAUUUCAAAAAGCAUAGUCCAUAGGAAUAUGGGUGGGAUACCUCCGUAUAGAAUACAAUUUCCAAAGAAGGCAAUUCAUAGAUAGGUUAUCUUCUUUAUGAAAAAAAAAAAAAAAAAAAAAAAAAAAAAAAAACAUAAUUUAGAAAAUAAAGAAAAAAUAUAGUCUUUAAUUCUCUACUUGUUUUUAAAUAAAAAAUCACCAAGAUAAGAAAUAGACAAUGAUAUUUGAUAAAGAGGGGCAAUAAGCAAGCAAAGAGUUGGGAAACAAUAUCAUUUUAUUUAGAUUUAUUUCUACUCAUAAUAACUUACUAUGCAAUACUAAUUUACAAUAAAGAUUUAAUGUUUUGUUUAUAAAAGCAAUUGAUAUGGCUAUUUUUAUCUAUAAACACCUUGAUUUUACUAAAAAAUUAAUAAAAAGUAAAAUUAAGAAGGUGUUUCAAUUUUUCUACUAUUAUACCAAAGGUGGCUAAUAAAAUAUUGAAUAUAGUUUUAAGAUGAUUGAUAAUUAUGAGUGGUACAUUAGGGAUGUAUCUAAGUAUAGUUAAUUUGUAAGAAAUAGGUAGUAACAUCCAAUAACCAUAAUUGAACAUUAAAUUUUGAAUGAGUUAAUCAAAUGAUAAAAGUUUUAGCUAAUAGUGCUAAAUUGGCAAAGAUACUUAAAUAUAAAAUCAAAACUUGAAUAGAAUAAUUAUAUUGCUACUAAUAUAUUAAGUUAAAGAUAUAGUUAAAAAUUCAUUAAUAAUGGUCACAUGAAGAAUUUUGAGGCAAUUUGAUUAUUGAAUGAAUUAAAAUAUGACCAUUUUUUUUAAAAUCAAGCAUUAAAAAUAUUUAUUAGAUUAUAAAAUAUUUCUUAGAUUAUCAUCUAAAAUUAUUAUUUUAUACUAAAAAACAUUAAAAAUUAGAAUCAUUUUUUGAUAUCAAAAAUUUAAACAUUAAAAUUUUAAAAAACUUAAAAAGCAUAAUAUUUUUUCUUUUUUAAAUAAUAAUUUAAUUUUUUUUUGCCAUUAAUAUUUUUUGAUAUUAAAAAAAAUUAAACAUUAAAAAUAUUUUUUGAAAUUAAAAAUUAAAAAUUAAUUGAUUGUUAUUUUAUAUAUAUAUAUAUAUAUAUAUAUAUAUAUUUAUAUUUAUAUAAAUUUUAUUGUAAUAAUUUAGUGGAGUUUGAUUUAAACAAGGUUAUUUUACUUAAAGUAAGUUGGUAUAUUAUAGCUAUUACUAGAUUAAUCUAAAUUAAAAUUUACCAUGUUAAUAGAUUCUGUUUCAAGUAUUUUUUUAAAAUUGAGUUAAAAAAAUUAAAAACCAUAAUAUUUGUUUUCUUUUUUAUUUUAACACAUAUAAUAUGUAUGAGAAAUCAUGUUGUGGUUUAUAAAAUUGAAUAUAAGUUUUUCAAUGAGCAAUAAAAGCAUCAUGCUUUUUUCAAAAUUGUGAUGUUGGGAAUAAAAUCUCAAAAUCAAAGCUACUUUUGUAAUUAUAUUUUAUAAGAAUAAAAAAUAUAUAUAUUUUACUUAUUUACUCAACUUUCAAAAACAUUUGUCAACAAACCAAGAACAUGGGCAGAGUAUUUUGUUUUGACUUAUUUUUGUUCACAGACUAACAAGAUUUAGCAAAUGGAAUUAGGCAUGUAGAAUGUAAACACAAUUUUCUUACUACUUGGCUUAAACUGACUUAUUAUAUAGAGACAGUGCAAAAUUCAGAUUUAGUAUUAAAAAUGAACACUGGAAGGCAAAAGAAUGGUGCGGCUCAACAGAAGAAAGUCCCAGAAAUUUGAAAAGUUGCAUGGAAUCUUGACUCAAUUUUAAAAUGAGUGUAGAAGCUAAAAAUCUUACAUUCAGGUCAACUUUAUAAAACAAUGAAGUUCAGUUUAGGCAUAAGAAGAAUCCAAUUACGUUGUUUUACAUGUCCAAAAUGUAAAACUUCAUCUUAUAAUAUUAAUCAAUGGUAAGUCAUUCAAUGAGAAAUGAUCUAUCAGUAAAAUGUAAUCAGUCUUAGAAUCUAAGAUUGAAUUACAGACAGACAAACAGAAGCCAUCGGAGCCAUGGACUGUGCAGGUCUUGCAAUGCCGACGGGAAGAAUCCAUGCGGUGGCCCUGCAUCGACGCGGCGCCGAGGAUCUUAAUCUUCAACCUUGUUGCGAAGCAGAUCAGCAGCUCUUACACUGAUUCCAGUCUUCCAUCUCGGCAAAGGGGGAUUCGUCUCUGGCUUCAUUUGCUUCUCCGACAUCUCGGCCCACAAGAAGGGCUUGAAUCUUCACCCAUUAGUUAACCAGUUCGAUGCGGAAGACCAGUCCCGUUGAACAUGGACGUCGGUGAGCUUCACUUCAGAACCUGUGUUGGUUUGUCACAAACUGCCUAGAUUGUCCCCGUCAGGGGCGGGGACGUAAGCGAAGGUCCGUCGCCGUCGAUAGCCGAGAACAUCUGCCAGUCAUACCCCGUUGCCUUCAACUGGCGUGAAACUCGACGAUCGAUUCAUCGAUUCCAAUCGCGUUGCAAAACUUGUGCCGCUCCACACCACUCAGCCAUGAAAAAGCGAACUGCACAACGUGAGCCACCAACUGCACACAGGCAUGAGGAGGGGGGGGGGGAGGGGAUGCCACGGCGUGUGGACCACCAGUCUCCGAACAGACACACCCAGCAGGUAAUCGACCACUUUUUCGGUGACGGAGAUUGUGCCUAGACUACAUAUCGUCUGUGCGUCCAAUGACGGAACAUCCUCCGCUACCGUCUCCUGAAAAGCCCAUCUCAAACCAUGGCCGUCCAUCGAAAGCGAGCCCCGUGAAUCUGAACAGCGACACCCAAAUUUUUAAGCAAUAAAAUUGGAUAAAGCCGAAUGAAAAAACAAGCUGCACUAUCUGUCCGUCACUCCCCCUAAAAGCAACCGGUUGACGUCUUCCACCUCAUGUCCACGUUGGAUUUCCAAGGGAGUAACCCAGUGGUUGUAGCCCACGGAGGCAGAGUUUCGGAUAGCCUUGAAAGAGUGGGUUUGUGGUAGCGACAACUUGAGGAAAGGCUUGUUGCUCUAAUGGCUCCUACUACUGCCACCUUCUGUUCGGCUCCGCUUCUAUUCUACUUCUUCCGCUGUGUGGUACUGGCAGUAGUAGCAGCAGCAGGAGCAGCAGAAGUGGAUACGACGGUUCUGUAAGAGGGGGGAGCAAAUUGCUGCGUGCGCACCUUGAGAGCCAGGUGAGAAGCUUUGUCACGCCAUACUAUAGGAAGCUGUGGUCUCUCGCCUUCCACUCCAACUCCUGGUAUGGGUUUUUGAAAAUCUUGUGUUGUGGGUUGUUUGUGUGUCCCUGGUUUUUGUUUGGUUUGUUGCGGUUGUGGCUCGUGCAAUUGGGUUGGGCUUUCAUCUACAUUCGGGGGUUCUUUAACGAGGGAAUAGCAGAAUUUGUAGGUGCGAGAUUUUCACUGGGUUAGUCUUUGAAUUCAGCGGUUCGCUGCGGUCCAAGGGGUUUCCAUUGCUGUGUGCUGCUGGGUUUUGGGGCUGUAAGGUUGUGAAGCAGUUGGAAUCUGUUCUUGUCGGUUAUGCACGCGUGCUUGGAGAAUUGAUGGUAGAAUGUGACCACAUUGGUAGUCUCUAGAGUCAGUUUCCCUCGGUAAUAGAUAUUGUAACCUCGGCGUGCGACUACAUGUUCUGUUGGUGUAUACGUUGUUCCCGAACCUGUGCCGAGAUUAGUGUCCCGCCAUCUAGGUUUUUAAAUGUACCAGUUGUGUUCACGGAUUGGUUGAGAAACUAGAGUUGGUAAAUUUUAUGGCGUGUUGAUUUGAAAUUUUCGCGCGGAUUGUUCACAGUAGUUGUGAAGUGCCCACUGAAUACAAACUGUCAAUACCAAACUUUCCUUGGGUUAAGUAGUCUUUUAAGCAUUCUAAAUAGUUGACUGGAUUGAAUUUAACAACUCCUGCGUCGACCUAGACAUCGUGACUAGCUUAACCUGAAAGGAUGAAUUGUGAGAUUGGUUGCCCUGGUAUCCUACUGCACCAAAUGUCAUUGUAACGGAUAUUGAUGUCAAUGGCGGAAGGCCCUACCGGCUUACAAAUUGGGAACCUGGGAUUGCCGUCGCAUCAUUGUUUCGGAUUGUUCUUUCACGGACGUUUAUCUGUAGAGAAUAGUUAACUUAUGGAGAAUCCAAAUUAACGUGUGCCUUUGUCUAUGUUUCCAACAGGAUGGCGUACAUUGCUCUCCCCACGAGGGACAGCACUCUUCUUCGCCUGGCCAAUGCUGCGCCAAGGCUUCCCCGCAGCGCCAGUGCCACAGUGCAGUCCACCUGCUCUUUGAAGGAUGUUUCAUCCAUGAGGCCCUUGAAGGUUCAGCCUUCCAGCCUCUUUGUCUCAAGGACUUUCUCCAGGUACUCUACAAGAGGUCAGACAGUUUUUGCCUCCAUGGAAGGCAAUGUCACAGUGGAGGAACCUGCUGUCGACACCACUGCCGAGGAGCCUGCAGCUGACAACACCUCCGUAGCCUCUGAUGCUGCCGAACAAGCAGAGGCCUCGGAAACUCCCAAGAGAUUCCAACGGAGCA